rnacentral:rRNA from 1 species
ACACGACUACAUUAGAUACCCCGGUAGUCCUAGUCGUAAACGAUACUCGCUAGGUGUCGGCCACGGUGCGACCGUUGUCGGUGCCGUAGGGAAGCCGUGAAGCGAGCCACCUGGGAAGUACGGCCGCAAGGCUGAAACUUAAAGGAAUUGGCGGGGGAGCACAACAACGGGUGGAGCUUGCGGUUUAAUUGGAUUCAACGCCGGAAAUCUUACCGGGACCGACAGCAACAUGAAGGCCAAGCUGAAGACUUUGCCGGAUUAGCUG